ensembl:snoRNA small nucleolar RNA SNORA2/SNORA34 family
CUGGCCCUGAAUCAAGGCUGGCAGCUUCUUGACAAUGUUGGUUUCAAGCAAAAACCUGAAGAGAUGUCUUUCUAUGGUCUGUUUGCCACUUCAGAACUUCGGCAGUGAAAUGUUCAUUGGAAAGCAACAGCU